rnacentral:rRNA from 1 species
UACGUAGGGGGCAAGCGUUAUCCGGAAUUACUGGGUGUAAAGGGUGAGUAGGCGGCAAGUUAAGUAAGAUGUGAAAGCCUGCGGCUUAACUGCAGGAUUGCAUUUUAAACUAAUUAGCUAGAGUACAGGAGAGGUAAGCGGAAUUCCUAGUGUAGCGGUGAAAUGCGUAGAUAUUAGGAAGAACACCGGUGGCGAAGGCGGCUUACUGGACUGAAACUGACGCUGAGGCACGAAAGCGUGGGGAGCGAACAGGAUUAGAUACC